rnacentral:lncRNA from 1 species
GGUUAAAGCGGAGUGCAAGGGCUGGGGCACACUCUGGCAACUCCCUCUCCUGCCACUCACUGUAAAAUAAGUUUUAAACCAAAGGAGCAGCCAAGAUAAAGGGCCCUGGGUCUUUCCUAGGGGGAAUCGGGAGCAACACUGCUGCGCACGAGGGACCAGGAGCCAAAGCUCUCAGCUGCUUUAAGAGUUUGCCACAGCGCUCAGGGUGAUAGUACCAAAAAGCUCGAGAAGCUCCUGAGGGCGGGGAAAUGAGGAGCACGGAAUUUACGUCGAUAAGACUUCUUAAAAAAAAAAAAAAUCAGACAGCCGACCCUGAAUCUUCCAGGUUAAGAUAAAGGAGAAACAACAUCCCACCACGCAGGGAGGCGCAUUAAGACACAGGAUGUUUUAAGUAGGGGAAGUGAACAACUCACAGGCUCCUGGAAGCCCCUCCCUACUAAGAAUGUAAAAGCAGCGAGGAUUGCCGAAUUGCACUCAGACGAGCUAAGUGGCCUAAAAAGGCUCGAGCUAGCACACCCUGUGGAAACAGCAGCUUGAGCUGGGCUGCCCAGUGUACUCUUGAGACUGCUCCAGUUGACCUGAAGAUAGGCUGGGACCAACUGAGCUGCCUGGAGGUCUCUCCAAUCUGUUGGGCUGCCUGCAGACUGCACUGUGCUCCAUGAUCCCAGCUUUCAUGAGUUCAGCAAUGCUAGGCUGAGCUUUGGGUAAUGUCCCUGUCUUUGAGUCAUUUCUGCUCCUGUAACUCCCAAUUGGACUUUGGUAAUGUGCUGGAUAGUUUUAUGUCAAGUUGACACAAACUAAAGUCAUUUGAAAGGAGGGAGCCUCAACUAAGAAAAUGCCUCCAUAAACUCCUACUGCCUGUGGAGCACUUUUGUAAUUAGUCAUUGAUGGGGAAGGGCCCAGCCCAUUGUGGAUGGUGCCAUCCUUGGACUGAUGGUCCAGGCUGAGCAAGCCAGUAAGCAGCUCCCUCCAUGACCUCCAGCUCCUGGCUCCAGGUUCCUGCCCUGCUUGAGUUCCUGUCCUGACUUCCUUUGGUGAUGAACAGUGAUGUGGAAGUGUAAGCUGAAUAAACCCUUCCCUCUCC